rnacentral:rRNA from 1 species
UAAAAACAUGGCUCCUUGAAAACUGAUAAUAAGGAGUCGGACCUGCCCAGUGAAUUUUUUUAACGGCCGCGGUACUCUGACCGUGCAAAGGUAGCAUAAUCAUUUGCCUUAUAAUUGAAGGCUAGUAUGAAUGGUUUGACAUGAAUGUAGCUGUCUCUCUGUAAUUCAACAGAACUUUACUUUCAGGUGAAGAGGCCUGUAUAUAAUUAAAAGACAAGAAGACCCUAUCGAGCUUGAAAGAAACUAAUAGAAUUAUGAUUAAUAUCAUUAAAAGAUUAUCUAUUAUAAAUUUUAGUUGGGGCGACUGAGGAACAUAAAAAGCUUCCUUUAAGAUUUAUUAAAAUCAGACUAGAGUUGAUCCAAAACAUUUUGAUUAAAGGAAUUAGUUACCGUAGGGAUAACAGCAUUAUCUUUUUUAAGAGCUCAUAUCGAAAAAAAGGUUUGUGACCUCGAUGUUGGACCAGAAUAUCCUAAAGGUGCAGCAGCCUUUAAGGGUUGGUCUGUUCGACCAUUAAAAUUCUACGUGA